AUGUUUUAUUUUAACGAUUCUUUCUCGGUGAUAUGCCCAUUAUCUUUCAUAUUUUUCCAAAACCGUUUAGCAAGCAAUUAUUAUCGACGUUUCUCAACUUCAAACCACAGUGCCGGGAAUUGUAGUUCACAUACAGCCAAUCGUGGGCGAAGCUCACCUGCUACGCCCACUGCUGAAAACCCUAAGCAUAAUAAGGGUUUUCAAGAAUUAAUACCAGUGAAGAAGCAGGCUCACCACCUGUUAUUGAAACCAGUCUUACAUAUUAGUGUGUCAAAGACGGGCUACCCUGCCGCCCCAUGGUGGAUCUGUGGGAGCUGUCAUGUAUCUUCAUCUAUGAGAACCACAAGUUUGGCAUGGGGUGUCUGUAGAGGUCAUCUGCUAGCACCGAGUACUUCGAGAAGAGACUAUAUUCCUGGCCUCAAGGUGGACGGCAUGGACAUUCUGUGUGUGAGGGAGUCCAAGUUUGCUGCAGACCACUGAAGAGCCUGGAAGCUGAACUGUGAUUGGUUGUAGAACUGGAGAAGUGGAGUUCUGAUUGGUGCAGAGAUGGGAGAGUUAUAACUGGUUUAAGAGCUUGAGGAGUGUUAAGAAUAAAUUUGUCUCAGACAAUCUAAUCCCAGAGGAUUGAAAAACUUCUAGUGUCACGUCAGUGUCUCUUCCCUGACAGAGGGAGGCUAUGUGACCAACAAAGAGAGACUAUUCCAGAGACUACUAAAGUACAGAACUGCAACUGUUCCCAGUUUUAAAUUAAAUAGUACCUGCAAAACACCUGUCUGGCCUUCUAGGCAGAGUUGCAAAGAAAAAGCCAUAUCUCAGACUUGCCAAUAGGGAGUAGUACACAGCGUUGUACGGGGUGUU